AUCUCUCUCGGCUCUCCUUCUUCUUGUGAAACAAACCACCACCACCAAAAUUUUGGCUUGUUGAACACCAAAACCAUUAUUAUCUGCAUGUCUUCACCACCAUAAACCCAGUUUUGAGUUUUGUUUCAUUGAAAACGAAUCCUAACCUCGAGUUCGAAGAACAAGGUUUUGGGCCGAGACUUCUAGGCGUGAUUCAGACAAUUUUCAGCCAUUUUUUUGAACUCAGAACAGUUUCUAGCGAUCUCGUGACCUUCCAGAUCAUUUUCCGGCCAAACCACAGCGAUUUAUCCAUCAGGAAAGUUUGCCCAGAAAUUCCGGCGAGUUACUUGUUUUCCCGCGGACAGCCAUAUUUCAGGCCAUUUUCCGGCUAUCUCUGGCCACCAUUUGGACUCCAAGUAUGUGGAAUCUUGUUCUACACUUCUCUAGCUUUGUUUUGGUAUAUUAUGGGUCAAAAUUGGGUGUGAAACGAGUGAGAUAUGGAGUUCUAAAGAUUGCCCAAAAAAUCUGCAGAAUCCAGCGAAAUUUCGUUAAGGUCUGCCACUUGAACAUUAUAGCAAUUGACGAUCUGACCAUUGGAUCGUCACCAAAAUUUGGUACAUUAUAGUACGUAAUAUUUAAGGACCUUAGGAACUUACGAAUCGAAAAUCUAGUGGUUGGAUCUUAUGGAGCAAGUGACAUAGGAUCAUGGACCCUACCUUUGAAUGACGGUUUGAUUCUCAUUAAAUGUUGUUGUGGGGGACAUAUGGGAGUUUUUGAGUAUGUGAAUUAUCAAAGGAAAUCUAAAUGUGGACUUGUACUUUGUUUUAGGCGACCCUAGUGCGUGACAUCUCAAUUCUUGCGCUAGGGUGCGUUAGUGCAGGCUCUAGGUGAGUGACUUUAAUAUAUGUGAUAUUGGUAAUUACCCUGUUUUUGUAAUUGUUAUCCUGUGUGGAUAUGACUUGGUUUUAUAAAUAUGUUUU